ACUCUUCAAACCCCUACCCCCUCUCUCCAUCAAACCCCAAAUCCCAAACCCAAACCCCAACCGGCAUAACAAUGAGUGAGAAGGAGAAGAUGGACAAAGAAAAUACACAGAGAUAGAGCUCUGAACCAGAAGAAAAGAACAAAGAAAGAUAAGUAACGAUGGAGAGAGAAGCCGGCCGAAAGGAGACGGAAGAGACGAACGCACGCAAAGAACACUUCCACCCUUCAACCAGGAUGAUUAUGCGGCAGAUGAUGAGGAAUACGACGAGAAGUUGAAGAAAGAGAGUUCGGCAUUUUUCUUUUUAGCUACAUAUGGAGAUGGUGAGCCAACGGACAAUGCUGCAAGGUUCUAUAAAUGGUUCACAGAGGGUAAAGAGAGAGGGGAAUGGCUUCAGAAUCUUACUUAUGGAAUGUUUGGCCUUGGCAACAGACAGUAUGAGUACUUUAAUAAGAUAGCAAAGGAGGUGGAUGAGCACCUUGCUGAGCAAGCAACAAGUAGGUUGGUCCGAUGGCAAUGGAGCCCGAAUUUGGAGUUUCUACUCCGCGAAACCCUUCUCAGGGGUGGUGGUGGUGACUUGUGCACUCAUUGUUUCAAUGCCUGGGAAAAAAAGAAAGACAAAACUAGAAACGGAAGGAGUUCAGCAAAAAGGAAGUCUUGUUCGAUAUGGAUUUUUAACAUUAGCUAGUUCAGGAAAUAUGCGGAAAUGAUGUACCUCUGAGCAAUUACAAUGGGAAAUAAGCAAUUACAAUGGGAGGUUGUUCUGAUUGUGAAUGUUGCUUCAAAAUGGCAAGUGACUUUAUAUAUCCUAGUUAGUCAAAUCUAUUAUAUUUACAUGGUUAAUUUGCCUCUUCUUCUUCUUCUUCUUCUUCUUCUUCUUCUUCUUCUUCUUCUUCUUCUUCUUCUUCUUCUCUCUUUUCUUUUGAUAAUCAUUCAUACUUAAAAAAUUCUUUGUUUUUGUUUUUGUUUUUGUUUUUGUCCUUGCUGUUAAUUACUUUAUUGAUCUUUGGGCCAUAUUCUUCUUCUUUUAUUUCCCUAGGAAUAUUCAGAGCUCUUUGGAUUUAUUCAUAAUGCUACUUCUUUCUUGAAACCUACUUCGUUGCUUGGCAUAUGACUUGUUGUUUAUUGUUUGUUUGAGUUUACAAAGAUAAUAUAGACUACAAAGUUCUUUUAAUCAUAUUCAAGUUGUUCAAUUCAAACUAACAUAAACUUUUCUCACUUUUUUUGGCUCCCUUUUGCAGUGGCUUAACACAAUCAAACUACAAAGAAUUGAACAUUUUAUAUGAAAAAUAUAAAGAUCAAGGUCUGUUAGUUAUUCAACUCCAGUUAUUUGUAUGUUUCCUUUCUAUAAUUUCAAAGAGUUUGAGGGGUCUUAAUCUUAGGAAUCAACUAAUGCAAUGGAGAAGGUCGGAGGUAUGCUUUUUAUGCUUCCAUGAAUGUCUCAUUUCAGCAUCAUUUGUUUCCUUAGCAUGGUUGUCAAUAUUACUAAGCUAUACUGAUGGUUCACUACUGAUGGAGAAUAAAAAGGA